GACGAACGCUGGCGGCGUGCUUAACACAUGCAAGUCGAGCGGAAAGGCCCUUCGGGGUACUCGAGCGGCGAACGGGUGAGUAACACGUGGGUAACCUGCCCUUCACUCUGGGAUAACUCCGGGAAACCGGGGCUAAUACCGGAUACGACCACUUUAGGCAUCUUCGGUGGUGGAAAGUUUUUCGGUUGGAGGAUGGACCCGCGGCCUAUCAGCUUGUUGGUGGGGUAAGUGGCCUACCAAGGCAGUGACGGGUAGCCGGCCUGAGAGGGCGACCGGCCACACUGGGACUGAGACACGGCCCAGACUCCUACGGGAGGCAGCAGUGGGGAAGUAUUGCGCAAUGGGCGGGAAGCCUGACGCAGCGACGCCGCGUGAGGGAUGACGGCC
rnacentral:rRNA from 1 species